UACGAAGGGGGCUAGCGUUGCUCGGAAUCACUGGGCGUAAAGCGCACGUAGGCGGAUUGCUAAGUCGAGGGGUGAAAUCCUGGAGCUCAACUCCAGAACUGCCUUUGAUACUGGCGACCUUGAGUCCGGGAGAGGUGAGUGGAACUGCGAGUGUAGAGGUGAAAUUCGUAGAUAUUCGCAAGAACACCAGUGGCGAAGGCGGCUCACUGGCCCGGUACUGACGCUGAGGUGCGAAAGCGUGGGGAGCAAACAGG
rnacentral:rRNA from 1 species